rnacentral:misc_RNA from 1 species
UGGGCGACGGAUGGAUACCUCCUUACCGACGAUAUUUGAAUGUGCAGUGUCCACACAGAUUGUCUGAUGAAAAAUAAUGAGCAUGAAAACCCUUUCGUUGAAAGGCGGACGGGCUGAUGAGUCGUUAACACAUCGGCCGCUUGAAUUUGCCAGCAAAUUCGCGCCUUUACACGGAAAUAGCAAAUCAGUGAUUUGCUAAGCAAUUUCCGUGUCCCCAUCGUCUAGAGGCCUAGGACACUGCCCUUUCACGGCUGUAACAGGGGUUCGAAUCCCCUUGGGGACGCCAUUCCGAUAAUGAGUGAAAGACAUUAUCACCGAAUAUCUUAAAGAUGACUUUAACGAGUCGUGUUUAAGAUAUUGCUCUUUAACAAUCUGGAACAAGCUGAAAAUUGAAAUGAUGAAUAGUCGAAAGAUUAUUCACGAGUCUCUCAAAAGCGCACAGCCGAUGAUGGAAACAUCUUCGGGUUGUGAGGUUAAGUGACUAAGCGUACACGGUGGGGACCUUGGCAAAGCCGAUGAUGGAAACAUCUUCAGGUUGUGAGGUUAAGUGACUAAGCGUACACGGUGGAUGCCUUGGCACGGGGAUUCCUUGGCACACUAUUAUCAUUUCACUUUUCAGGUUGUUCCAUAUUGUUACGAGCAUAUCUUAAACCCCCUGUUAAAACUCUUCUCCAAGAUAUUUGUGAACACGUUUUUUUCUCCUUAUCGCACUGGUUUCCCCAGGGGUAUUUAAGCCUGUCAAGUCCGAAAUGGGCGUGUUCUAGGCCUCGAACUAUGGGGAUCCGAAAUGCUUAGCAAAUCACGAAUUGCUAUUUCUGUAAGGGGAAAUUUGCUGGCAAAUCAGCGUCCAUAUGUUACACUCAACCCGUCCUUUCCCAGU